rnacentral:rRNA from 1 species
GACGUAGGGCGCGAGCGUUGUCCGGAUUUAUUGGGCGUAAAGAGCUCGUAGGCGGCUUGUCGCGUCGGCUGUGAAAUCCCGUGGCUCAACUGUGGGCGGGCAGCUGAUACGGGCAGGCUGGAGUUCGGUAGGGGAGACUGGAAUUCCUGGUGUAGCGGUGAAAUGCGCAGAUAUCAGGAAGAACACCCGUGGCUAAGGCGGUUCUCUAGUACGGUACUGACGCUGAGACGCGAAAGCGUGGGGAGCGAACAGG